UACGUAGGGGGCUAGCGUUGUCCGGAAUCAUUGGGCGUAAAGCGCGCGUAGGCGGCCCGGUAAGUCCGCUGUGAAAGUCAAAGGCUCAACCUUUGAAUGUCAGCGGAUACUGCCGAGCUAGAGUCCAGAAGAGGCGAGUGGAAUUCCUGGUGUAGCGGUGAAAUGCGCAGAUAUCAGGAGGAACACCAAUGGCGAAGGCAGCUCGCUGGGACGGUACUGACGCUGAGACGCGAAAGCGUGGGGAGCAAACAGG
rnacentral:rRNA from 1 species